GAUGAACGCUAGCUACAGGCUUAACACAUGCAAGUCGAGGGGCAGCAUGGAAGAAGCUUGCUUCUUCUGAUGGCGACCGGCGCACGGGUGCGUAACGCGUAUCAAACCUGCCUCAUACUCGGGGAUAGCCUUGCGAAAGUAAGAUUAAUACCCGAUGUUGUUAUGUUACCGCAUGGUGACAUAACCAAAGAUUUAUCGGUAUGAGAUGGUGAUGCGUCCGAUUAGGUAGUAGGCGGGGUAACGGCCCACCUAGCCUUCGAUCGGUAGGGGUUCUGAGAGGAAGGUCCCCCACACUGGAACUGAGACACGGUCCAGACUCCUACGGGAGGCAGCAGUGAGGAAUAUUGGUCAAUGGACGAAAGUCUGAACCAGCCAAGUAGCGUGCAGGAUGACGGCCCUCUGGGUUGUAAACUGCUUUUAGUUGGGAAUAAAAAAGAGGACGUGUCCUCUAUUGUAUGUACCUCAGAAAAA
rnacentral:rRNA from 2 species